rnacentral:rRNA from 1 species
CUACGGGCCGCAGCAGUGAGGAAUAUUGCACAAUGGGGGGAACCCUGAUGCAGCAACGCCGCGUGGAGGAUGACGCAUUUCGGUGUGUAAACUCCUUUUAUAUGUCAAGAAAAUGACGGUAGCAUAUGAAUAAGCACCGGCUAACUCCGUGCCAGCAGCCGCGGUGAAUACGGAGGGUGCAAGCGUUACUCGGAAUCACUGGGUGUAAAGGACGCGUAGGCGGGUUGGAAAGUCAGGUGUGAAAUCCUACAGCUUAACUGUAGAACUGCACUUGAAACUUCUAAUCUAGAGUAUGGGAGGGGGAGAUGGAAUUAGUGGUGUAGGGGUAAAAUCCGUAGAUAUCACUAGGAAUACCUAAAGCGAAGGCGAUCUCCUGGAACAUUACUGACGCUAAGGCGUGAAAGCGUGGGGAGCAAACAGGAUUAGAUACCCGCGUAGUC